rnacentral:rRNA from 1 species
AUUGAACGCUGGCGUCAGGCUUAACACAUGCAAGUCGAGCGGGGGAAGGUAGCUUGCUACCGGACCUAGCGGCGGACGGGUGCGUAAUGCUUAGGAUUCUGCCUAUUAGUGGGGGACAACAUCUCGAAAGGGAUGCUAAUACAGCGUACGUCCUACGGGAGAAAGCAGGAGAUCUUCGGACCGUGCGCUACUAGAUGAGCCUAAGUCUGAUUAGCUAGUUGGUGGGGUAAAGGCCUACCAAGGCGACGAUCUGUAGCGGGUCUGAGAGGGUGGUGCGCCACACUGGGUCGUAGAAACGGCUCAGGCUCCUACGGUAGGCAGCAGUUGGGUAUAUUAGACAAUGGGGGGAACCCUGAUCCAGCCAUGCCGCGUGUGUGAAGAAGGCCUUAUGGUUGUAAAGCACUGUAAGCGAGGAGGAGGCUACUCUAGUUAAUACCUAGGGAUAGUGGACGUUACUCGCAGAAUAAGCACCGGCUAACUCUGUGCCAGCCGCCGCAGUAA